GCUUACACAUGCAAGUCGAACGAUGAAGCAGAGCUUGCUCUGUGGAUUAGUGGCGAACGGGUGAGUGACACGUGAGUAACCUGCCCUUGACUCUGGGAUAAGCACUGGAAACGGUGUCUAAUACCGGAUACGACCCUCGGAGGCAUCUUCAGGGGGUGGAAAGAAUUUCGGUCAAGGAUGGACUCGCGGCCUAUCAGCUAGUUGGUGAGGUAAUGGCCCACCAAGGCGACGACGGGUAGCCGGCCUGAGAGGGUGACCGGCCACACUGGGACUGAGACACGGCCCGGACUCCUACGGGAGGCAGCAGUGGGGAAUAUUGCACAAUGGGCGCAAGCCUGAUGCAGCAACGCCGCGUGAGGGACGAAGGCCUUCGGGUUGUAAACCUCUUUUAGUAGGGAAGAAGCGAAAGUGACGGUACCUGCAGAAAAAGCACCGGCUAACUACGUGCCAGCAGCCGCGGUAAUACGUAGGGUGCAAGCGUUAUCCGGAAUUAUUGGGCGUAAAGAGCUCGUAGGCGGUUUGUCGCGUCUGCUGUGAAAACUGGGGGCUCAACCCCCAGCCUGCAGUGGGUACGGGCAGACUAGAGUGCGGUAGGGGAGAUUGGAAUUCCUGGUGUA
rnacentral:rRNA from 1 species